GGGUGCCUACUGCGGCUGCACUGGCAGUUGAGUUGCCAGUAGGCAAAGGUAUACUAUCGAAGCUUUGCUACUUGUGUUGAUCAUGUUGUGUUAUUGACGUAUUGAUUCCAUGCAGGUGAUCUUGGGGCCUUGGGGGACCCUGAAGCGAAAGGUGUGCCUAAGAGGCAAACUGUGAAGGGCGUGCGCUUUCGCCAAAAGAAGAUAAAGGAGGUCACUACUGUGCCUCAUCUGGUGCCGCAGGCAGCAGCCGCGGAGUCACGUUCUGGUGCUGCGAAGAAGCAGGCAGAAGAGGUGGCUGCGGGAGGGACAGCUGCGGGUCCCCCUGUGAUUGGUGAGAAGAGGAGGCCAGAGCAGAAAGCUGCUGGUGGUGUUGAAACCAAACGUCGGAGGCUAGUAACCAAAAGGUCUGCUCCGGCGCAGAAAAAACCUGCGGUUGUCGUUGAGCGUCAAGAUGAAGAUUUUUCUAUCUUCGAUGCUCCGGAGUCCCCUCCGCGUGCCAUGGAUGCGGGUGGAGCGGAGGUGCCAUCGACACCUCCCGUCAAGGUGGUACCCGAGUCAACCGUGCAGAAGGAGGGUACCGC